rnacentral:lncRNA from 1 species
CGUAAGGCAGAAACCCUAAUGCCUAAACCAAACGCCCCUCUCCAGUCUCGUCGACUUCCAGCUGUCCAGCACGAGCAGUAACCUAACGCCCCUAUCGUCAACUUCCAGCAGUCCAACACCAGCAGUAACCUAACGCUCCUCUCAUCGACUUCCAACAGUCCAGCACCAGCAAGUAUCUGUGUUUUUUUACCUUGCAAUUCAUACAUUUUUGCUCGCUGUGAAUAAUCUGGAUAUACAUGUUUGAUAUUUUGGAUAUGGUGAAUGAGAGCUACAUUGGUCAUACUACUCUUUCUGUUGGAACUUUCAUCUCAGAUGGGUUGAGCAGGAUUCAACUCUUAGAUUGGAAUGCCCAUUCAACCCUUACAUUAUAUUUAGUGACAUUUAUUAUAGAGUUUUUUGUUUGGUGAUGUGUUUAGAAAGAAACUUGGUGACUUCUCAAAUUCACAUACAUUAUAUGGCUAUCACAUAUAGGUCAACAUAUGAGUUUUUUGCUUUUACCUUUCUCAGUAGAGAUCGAGUUUGUAUUUUUCAGGCUCAUCUGCUGUUGAGUGGGCACAAGAUGCAGAUUUUCAAUUCUUGUCAAGCAUUGGGAUCAUAAGCAUACACAAGAUAGAAAAGAACCAAUUCAACUCUUAUCAAGCAUUGGGCUCAUAAGCAUAUAAUUACUUGGUAAUUACUACAAUUGAGCCUAUUCUUUACGCAUGAAAAUGCUUCACAAAGCUUAUUCUUGAUUUAUAUUUUCUACCAAAAGGAUUCUAGUAAAUUUUUAAACUUCUCAUGUUUAGGGACAUAAGCAGAAAUAUAACAAGUGAUAUAAUCUUUAACUGUGAGUUUUCCCGAAAGAUGCUAAAGUUCUCUGCUAAUUUCUUAAGUACAACAUAGUAAAAGUUGACCUAUUAACUUUAGAUAUAUGUGUUUUUGCUUUGAUUCAUCACUCGAAAUUGCAACAACAAAGUAUGUCUUAUUCUUUUUAAACGUUUUGAAUCAUUUGUCCUAUUAAGUUAUCAAUUUCUCAUUACAUUUUGUAGCCUUGAUGUUUUAUACCAAAAACUAUUAGCCUCCAUUAUCGUGAAAGGCUUUGAUUAAGGCUUUAAGUUCACGUGAAUUUCCAUAGCUUGAUGUGUCCAAAUCAUACAAUCUUGAUGGCAUAUACCCUGAUAAAUUGAGAAAACAUAAGUCUCUUCCCAAGUUUGCUAAGCUGAUUUAAUAUCUUCAGAAAUUAUGUUUGUGUUAAUAUAGGUUUUUAAUCCUGAUGAUUUUCUCAUGCUUUUCAUGUAAUUAAAAUAGAAGAAGAAGUAGAGAUGGAACUGGACAAUGCGGCGCAGGACCAGUUGCAGAAAACAAAUGUGUACAAUUGUAAAAUAGACAAUGUCGUUUUAAUACUCUACUUUGGGUUUGGGAUGUACCGUAGCUGUGUAGCAUACAAUUUAGUGAUUUACAUAUGUGUUCUGCUUUUCACUCGUUAUUAUGUAGGCAGUAGUUUCGAUUUCUGUACGCAGACUCAAUGUGUA